UUUUUUCAGACGACAAUGAUUCACCUGUGACUCUUGCAGUGUCAACAUGAAGGUUCUUCUACAUCUGGCUCUUAUUUUGACUUUGUCUUCAGUUUGGAUGGAGGCAGAGGGCAAAGCUUGUAAACUCAAGGGAGUUAAUUGCAUGGGUUAUAGGUUGGAUUUUUCUAUGGCCAGUAGUGCUGACGAGUGCGAGAUUGAUUGCAGGCGUGUUGGAAGGUUUUACGGACGAAAAGCCAAUUAUUACUCUGUCUUAUACACAGGCUCAUCCUUGAGGGGGCCAAGUUUUAAUUGCAAAUGCUAUGCCACUUGUCGCAUUCAAUUAAAUUCUGCAAGUGAGGUGCAUGUAAUUGAUGACAAAGACGUUUCUAACAUUUGUGAGACUGAGGCUCGAUUCAAAUUUUGAUCUAAUACUUCAUCUAUUUCUGUUCAAGUAACUCCAAAUCCAAAAUAAAGACAAACCAUUCAGAUGGAUCUUAAACAGUUUUCGUGUCAUUUGUAUGCAUGUCGCUUCAAUUACUUUUUUACAUCAUAUCCGAGGUAUAUGGCCAUU